GAUGAACGCUGGCGGCGUGCCUAAUACAUGCAAGUCGAGCGAACGGACGAGAAGCUUGCUUCUCUGAUGUUAGCGGCGGACGGGUGAGUAACACGUGGAUAACCUACCUAUAAGACUGGGAUAACUUCGGGAAACCGUAGCUAAUACCGGAUAAUAUUUUGGACCGCAUGGUUCAAAAGUGAAAGACGGUCUUGCUGUCACUUAUAGAUGGAUCCGCGCUGCAUUAGCUAGUUGGUAAGGUAACGGCUUACCAAGGCAACGAUGCAUAGCCGACCUGAGAGGGUGAUCGGCCACACUGGAACUGAGACACGGUCCAGACUCCUACGGGAGGCAGCAGUAGGGAAUCUUCCGCAAUGGGCGAAAGCCUGACGGAGCAACGCCGCGUGAGUGAUGAAGGUCUUCGGAUCGUAAAACUCUGUUAUUAGGGAAGAACAUAUGUGUAAGUAACUGUGCACAUCUUGACGGUACCUAAUCAGAAAGCCACGGCUAACUACGUG
rnacentral:rRNA from 1 species